GUCCGAGCGGGCGGCUCCAGCGGUGUGUGGGCGCGGGCCGCACGCUUCCCGGCGCACCCGGGGCCGGGGCGCCGCGCUCGGGGGGAGACCCUGUGCCCGGGGGCGGCCGCCUGAGUUCCAGACGGCCCUUUCUUGGAAACCCUCCUAAACAUGCUUGGAGGAUGGAGACGGUGCAGCUGCCUGGCGCGGAGGCGGAGUUCAUCCUGGUCCAGUAUAAUCGCCCUAACGUCUCUGCUGGGGCAGAGGCUGCGUCCAGCAGAGAAAUGUCCGGUCCCCUCUAUCCAAGCCUCCUCUCUGGGAACCCUCCUUUGCGCGGGUGAGGCCUGGCCCUCUGCAGACCCUCUGUGGGCGACAUCUGGCUGCCGCUCUUGCUGGGGGAAGUGAACGGAUGGUUCUUGCUGCUGGUGGAGCCUUUGCUUCCUAACCCUCCGACUGGGCCAACAGAUGUCUGCUCCUUAGAUCAACGCUGCAUUGUAUUCUGGGCCCCAGGUCCCUUCCUGCCAUUCCCCUCCAAGUUACUGUUCACCACAUUACUGCUGAUGCAAAGUGCACAAGCCUUUUAGCAUCUCCGACGGGAAAGAGUUUUACUCCAGCGGGGGUUAGGACGGCUGCCCGGGAAGCAUGCCUUCACAGGGCAAAAAAUGCUCUGGAGAAGGAGCAGUUUUUACAGGAUUAUAUACUGUUUUAACACCGUGUACAAGUUCAGAAAAUGGCAGGUCUUCGUCCAGGCAGGAAUCACGGUUAGAACAUCAAGAAUUACAGGAAGCAGGAGGUCACUGCCUCAAGUGAUGUGGGAGCAAAGGCAGAAGGAAAUGGCCGGUAGAACUAAAUGUCCUUAGAACCUGCAGCCCAUGGACAAAUGCUCAAGGC